UUGUAAUAGUAGCGACAUGAGGUCCACCCACCACGGCAUCAUCGAAGAAGAAGAGGCAGUUGUGUUGGAGAACCAUGCCAGUAGUAACCAUACCAAUACCCAGUUGUCGUUCUCAUUACCACUGCCGUAAGCUAUUUCUGUUAACUCAAACUCACACCUCUUCUCCUCUUCCUCCCACUCCCACUACACCUCUCUUCGCUUCCGCCGUAGCCAAGAGAACCAUGCUCACCGCCAGCAGCAGUGGCGGUGGUGCUUUUACCACAAUCAAAGAGAGAGUUUCAUUCGAAAAGGAGAUCAAAAAGAGUAAAUUCAUCGCCAUUGCUGGUCCCAUCUCCGACGAACAAUCCGCCUUUUCCUUCCUUUCCCAGGUCCGAGAUCCGCGUGCUACUCACAAUUGUUGGGCUUACAAGGUUGGAGAUCAGUAUAGAUCAAAUGAUGAUGGUGAACCAUCUGGUACAGCUGGAAAGCCAAUACACUCUGCCAUUGCUUCUUCUGGUAUUGACAGAGUUAUGGUUGUUGUCAUCAGGUAUUUUGGAGGUAUCAAAUUAGGCACAGGGGGACUAGUCAGAGCUUAUGGAGGAGUUACCUCAGAAUGCUUGAGAAAUGCCCCAACUUGUUUAGUAAAAUCUAAGGUCCCUAUGGGGGUUGAGGUCCCAUUUGAUCUUAUAGGCCUUCUGUAUCAUCAGCUGCAAUCUUUUCAAGUUGAAGAUAUCAAGCAAGAUUAUGAAACAGGGAAAGAAGCACAGGUAUUUGAUGAUUUGAUCUAAGUGAGGCCUACUGUUUUCUAAACUUAAGCCACGGCCUUGGAAGAAGAAAGAGGGUUGCUGACAGUUGGGGUUUUCAGCAGUGAUGCCUAUGGUUAGGUUGCCAUUGGAAGCAGCUAUGGUGAUGGAAGUGUGGCCUUCCUAGAGAUGGGAAUGAAGACAAUGCUAAUAAUGGUUGAUAAUAUGCCUUGUCAGUUUAUCCGUUGGUGGAUACAAACUACUAAUGCUUGUAUGUUAGCUUAAAAGUAAGUAAAGUAAUGGUUAUUGCACACCAAAUGGUAAGAAGAUGGAGUUUUUUUGUUAGUAAUAGUAACAAGAACUAGAACUCCACAUAAGAAAUGUUAUGUGCAAGCUUGGAACGUACUUUCGAUAGUUAUAUCUUUUGUCUUUUCUUUUCUUCUCCAAUUUUUUUGGCAUUGACUGGAUAAUAAAGUAUAUGUGCAUAUUUUCUUUGCAGUUUAGUAUGAAUCCUAUGAUAAUUAACCAAUCCAUAAUUUUUAUUCAUAGUACAAUAACAAAAAUACAACAACUAAUCUGUAAAUGGUAUACAUAUCCAAGCCCCAAACCAAAAACUAGAUGAAAAUGACAUCCUCAAACUGAGGCAAAAAUAAAUAAUACAAACAGAACAAAAUCCAAAAACAUAAUUUAAAUCACUCAACUACAUGCAAGAUCAUAGAUAGAACAUAGAAGUGGCAAAUGAAACCCAAAUCCAUCCAUAGUAUCUAGUCAACUCUUCAAUUUGAUGGUGGAGGAGAGAGGAAUGGAAGAUUUGGAAUGGUGGGAAUUGAAGGCAUUGUCGUUGGAAUAGUGGGAAGAGGAGGAAGUGUUACCUUAGGAAUUGAGGGAACAUUAUUGGCUGGGUUUGUGGGAAGUGUAGGCAAAGGAUUAGAUGGCAGUGGAGCUACAUUGGGUUUUGGCAAAGUUGGAAGAGCUGGCAAAGGAUUUGAGGGCAAUGGAGCAAUGUUGGGCUUUGGCAAUGUUGGAAGAGUAGGCAAAGGGUUAGAAGGCAUGGGUGGCAUAUUUGGUUUAGGUAGUGGUGGGGCUGAGGGCAAUGGAGGCAAUAUGGGGUUGGGAAGAGCAGGAAUUUUGGGCAAUGCCGGGGGUGGUGCGGCCGGCGGUGUGUCUAAAAGGUGGCGAGUUGCCAAAAUUGGAUUGGUUGAGAGUGAUAAGGCUAUGAUUAUUGAUAGAAUAGAGAAAAUCUUGAGGAAACCCAUGUUUUGAUGACAAAAAAGACAAGUACUUGUGUUGGAUAUGUCAAUAAUGUAUUUAGUGGGGAGUCUUUUUUCGUUGU